rnacentral:rRNA from 1 species
UUGACACGGACUACCAAUGCUUUGUGAUGCGCUCUCAAAGAGUCGCGUUGUUUGGGAAUGCAGCGCAAAAUGGGAGGUGAAUUCCUUCUAAAGCUAAAUAUUGGCGAGAGACCGAUAGCGAACAAGUACCGUGAGGGAAAGAUGAAAAGCACUUUGGAAAGAGAGUUAAACAGUACGUGAAAUUGCUAAAAGGGAAACGCUUGAAGUCAGUCGCGUCGUCCGGAACUCAGCUUUGCUUCGGCUUAGUGCACUUUCCGGUUGACGGGCCAGCAUCGAUUUUGACCGCUGGAAAAGGGCUGGAGGAAUGUGGCACCUUCGGGUGUGUUAUAGCCUUCAGUCGCAUACAGCGGUUGGGAUCGAGGAACGCGGAUGCUG